UGAGUGGUGGACUUUAUUGUGCAGGAAAGGGGAAAUUGCACCGUGACGUCCAAGUACCUAACUGAGUACAAAGUCCUGCACCAGACUGCAGUCUAUCAGAGCAACUUUAAAUUCACUCCAGCCUUUUCUUUGGGUUGUUUUUGAUGGUUGACAUUUUUCUGUUCUAUUUGCUAAAGGAUUUUUUUGGUUUUUAUAUUGUAAAACUGCAUCCAAGCUUCCUGGAGUGCCGUGCCCUACCCCUGGAAAGUGGGCUUGUUUUUGAAUGAAUGCACUCUUGCCACUUCCAGACUCAUAAUCUCUGACUCCAAAUCCAUGUUACUGUUGGGAAGGUGCCAUGAGGCUGCAACACUGCCUCUCCUGGAGCCUCUCUUUGCUACUUCUGCUCUUGUUGACUUGUGGGUACCAGUGCGUGUCGGUCCACUUCCAGACCCCGCAGCCGGUCAAUGUACUCCCAGCUGGACGUCUAGUUCUCCAGGUCCAGAUCGACCGCGAUCCCAAAGAAAAGAUCUCCAUGAUAACCUGGUAGCGGGAGCCAGAGAACGCAAAAAACCCCGGGAAUCCUGGGAAAAUGAUGUUGAUUACGUUCUCCGGUCAAGAAAAACGCUUGGACAGGCGUCUGAGUCUGGAGCAGCAAGGGUCAAUACUGAAGCUAGAGGGCUUUGGCGUGGCGGACAGCAGAGUGUACAUCGUGACCGUCACUGACCAGGCUGGCGUCAAGACCUGUGCACAGUGUAUCGUCAAGGAGUACGCCUCAUACUUCUCAAGUCACCACCACCAAGCCUCAGUGGACAACACGCUCAACUCACCCUGUUACUUCACAACACAACCAACCUCUGUUCUCUCUCCACUCUGUCCCUCUCUCACCUCUUUGAGACAAUUUUCAGUUGCAACUUCCAAGUCUCACCUUUCUCACACCUGGUCUCCUUCUCUGUUCUCUGUCUCUUGUCUUGGCUGUGCACCACCCCUCAGUGAGUGGAGCAGUGCUAGCUUUUCUACUGUGGAGGCACGGUCACACACACUGACAGUCACACAGUGCAGAUACACAUUUCAUUUUGAGCUACGGUACGUAAUGGAAGAUAAAGCCGUAUAUAGCAAGGAAACAGAGGUCGCUGACAGACGGCAGAAGGGAAAAGAUAAAAGAAAUGUAAAAAAAUAAAUAAAA